GCACGUUUGGCCGAGUUGGUCUAAGGCGUGGGUCUCAAGUUCCCAUCUCUUCGGAGGCAUCGGUUCGAAUCCGGUAGCGUGCA